GGACAAGCCCUGGAAACGGGGUCUAAUACCGGAUACGACCUUCCUCCGCAUGGGGGUUGGUGGAAAGCUCCGGCGGUGCAGGAUGAGCCCGCGGCCUAUCAGCUUGUUGGUGGGGUAAUGGCCUACCAAGGCGACGACGGGUAGCCGGCCUGAGAGGGCGACCGGCCACACUGGGACUGAGACACGGCCCAGACUCCUACGGGAGGCAGCAGUGGGGAAUAUUGCACAAUGGGCGAAAGCCUGAUGCAGCGACGCCGCGUGAGGGAUGACGGCCUUCGGGUUGUAAACCUCUUUCAGCAGGGAAGAAGCGCAAGUGACGGUACCUGCAGAAGAAGCACCGGCUAACUACGUGCCAGCAGCCGCGGUAAUACGUAGGGUGCGAGCGUUGUCCGGAAUUAUUGGGCGUAAAGAGCUCGUAGGCGGCCUGUCGCGUCGGAUGUGAAAGCCCGGGGCUUAACCCCGGGUCUGCAUUCGAUACGGGCAGGCUAGAGUGUGGUAGGGGAGAUCGGAAUUCCUGGUGUAGCGGUGAAAUGCGCAGAUAUCAGGAGGAACACCGGUGGCGAAGGCGGAUCUCUGGGCCAUUACUGACGCUGAGGAGCGAAAGCGUGGGGAGCGAACAGGAUUAGAUACCCUGGUAGUCCACGCCGUAAACGUUGGGAACUAGGUGUUGGCGACAUUCCACGUCGUCGGUGCCGCAGCUAACGCAUUAAGUUCCCCGCCUGGGGAGUACGGCCGCAAGGCUAAAACUCAA
rnacentral:rRNA from 1 species